UCGCGCAACCUUUGCAAUACACGCAAGUGUGACAGGGCUAUCCCGAGUGCCGUCCGCUGAGGAUGGCUUUUACCCAGUCUAGAAAGCUGGGGGGAAUAAGGAGAGGGCAAGUCUGGUGUCAGCCGCCGCGGUAAUACCAGCUCUCCGAGUGGUGUGGAUGUUUAUUGGGCCUAAAGCAUCCGUAGCUGGCCAAGUUAGUCCCCUGUUAAACCCACCGAAUUAAUCGUUGGCGUGCGGGGGAUACUGCUCGGCUAGGGGGCGGGAGAGGCAGACGGUAUUUUCGGGGUAGGGGUGAAAUCCUAUAAUCCCGGGAAGACCACCAGUGGCGAAGGCUGUCUGCUAGAACGCGCCCGACGGUGAGGGAUGAAAGCUGGGGGAGCGAACCGGAUUAGAUACCCGGGUAGUCCCAGCUGUAAACGAUGCAGGCUAGGUGUUUGGACGGCCACGUGCCGUUCUAGUGCCGCAGGGGAAGCGUGUUAAGCCUGGCCGCCUGGGGGAGUACGGUCGCAAGAUUAGAAACUUAAAGGAAUUGGGCGGGGGAGCCGAACCG
rnacentral:rRNA from 1 species